rnacentral:lncRNA from 1 species
UUGUUUGUUUACCCCUCUCCCACGGCAUCAAUGGUAGCUUGUGCUCUCCCUCCCAUUGGCUAGCAAUUUUUAAGGCCUGGGUAUUUGUCUAGAACUUUUACGCCCCAUUGUCUAAGUAGACUAUCACGUAGUGCUAUGGCCUGAUCAAGUCUUGUUUAGGACCAUGAGAAGAGAGAUGGAUUUUUUUUUUUUUUUGGAGCGCAGUAGUUUAUGCCAUUGAGACCAGGCUCUAUCAAACCUGGACAACAUUCCAGCCAUACUAUGUGCAAUUUGUUAAUGCAUUCUGUUUGCUGCCAGCUUCUCAACAACCACAUGGGGUUGGGUGGAAGGAUUUUCAAGCUCUUACUAUCUCUUUUGGCUGCCACCAUCAUCGCAUACAUUAUCGUUCUUUGCUUUCCCAAGUAUCGUUGUUGACAUAUCAAGCAGAUAUUCUUCAGGGCUCAGAGGGACCUUUGGCCAGAUUAUACAAUGGAUUUUAAACCUGGGACCACAAAGGGCCCAGUUUUGGGUAUGUUUUAAAGAUAUGGUUAAGAGAUCCUAUUCCCUGCUGGAAGAAACAUUCAGGUAACUGUGAUUAGUGAACAGGAGUCAGAUACCACCUGAUCAAUCAAUUUCUGUUGGCCUCGAUAUGGUCAAGCAGUAGGUGGUCCUCUGUAUUUGACAUACACCUCUAUCCCACUGUUCUGGAGAGAAUUGGACAUUAAGCUUUUUUCCCAUUGUCAUUUAUUAUUUAUAAAGCGCCAACAAAUUCUAAAAUGGUGGAUUAACAGUCAUGUAUUUGCAACAAGAUGAGCUGGACGCACAAGAACAGAGGGUGUUCCAGUGCGCAAAACAAGCUUACAUUGUAGAGGGAGUGGGGUAAAGUGACAGUAGGAUGUAUUUCACGUAUGCGGAAAAGUAGGUUGCUAGCAUAGUGAGAAGGGUUAUUUUUUUGGGGGGGGGGGGGGGGAAAUGACACAGGUGCAGGAGAGGAAGCGGGGUGCAUAAACAAGGCGCAGAGGGGAAAGGGAAGUGAAAACGUAAACAUUUUUAAAUUAUAUGCUUUCUUAAAGAAGUGAGUUUUUAAUGAUAUUUUGAAUGAACUGCGAUUGGGUAACCGUAGAGAAGUCUUGAAGGUGGGCGUCGUUGGUGCAAGUGCAAACUGCUAUUGACGCAUAGCUUAGGGGCCUGGAAGGGGCAUCCUUGUGUAUCAGUGUGUAUGGGUAGGUAGGAGCAGCAUUAUGUAAAGAUUUGAAAGCAAGCACCAGAAUUUUACAUUGAGCCCUAUAUCUCACAUGAAGGAUGGAGGUGUAGGCAGACAGGAAAAAUGCAUGAUAGCUGCAUUUAUUAUAGAUAAUUGGUCUAGCUGUGAAACAAAUUGCAGUAGUCAAGGCGAGAGUUAAUAGCGACAUGGGCCAGCACCUUGGCAAUUAUAUAAGGGCUGAUGUGAGCUUAGUUUUUGAGAUGGAAGCAGCAGGAUUUGGCAAGUGACUGGCCAGAGGGGUGAAGGAGAGGUAGGAGUCAGAGAAUGUCUAGGCAGCAAGCUUGCGAGGUAGGGCUAAUGGUAGUACCAUUGAUUUGGAGGGAUAAUAAAGGUUUAAGAACAGUGCACACAUACAAAUACAGUUUUACAUUUUACAAGACUACUUAUAAUCACCGAUCUCCGCAAUGAAAUAUGGGGUUCGGUUCCACCAUCUGGCCUAAUUGUCUUAAGCCCCCUACUACUUAACAGUACCCCAAUAUCGGUGGAUCCUACACCAAUUCCAAAGUGGAGAUAGGGUUGUUUUUUUUUUUUUGUAGACUUAUAAAAUGUAUUCCUUUUUUGUCUUUACUAUGUCAUGACAUAGUAUCAUGAUGUCUGUCAUGCCAUGAUAGAUGAUGUCAUAGUAAAGACAAAAAGGGAAUUGGGUGCACACCCGAACAAGCAUUUUUAAGAUAUGGUGCUGCUGUAGUGACCACAAUUUAUACCAGAUUAACCCAUUAAGGACAGAGCCAAACGUACACGUUGUGAUAAAAAAUGUAAAUACACCACAGAAUUUGACUAUAUGUCUGUGCAACAAUAAUUUACCCCUUUCAUAUUGCAUGCAAACACACUUAUUAUAUAUCGUUUUGUUCAGGAGAAACAGAGCUUUCAUUUCAUAUCAAAUAUUCAUAUAUGGAACUCCAAUUUUAUAUGAAAAAAAGUUUGAAAAAUCAAGACCUUUUGUUAUUUUCAAGUUCUGCAUGGCAUUUCAACUGUGAUGUCAUACUGUUGGGUUUUCCUGCAAUAAAAUGCACUUAUUUGUAUUAUUCAAUA